rnacentral:tRNA from 1 species
GGCUUCGUAGCUCAAUUGGAUAGAGCAUCUGACUACGGAUCAGAAGGUUGCAGGUUCGACUCCUGCCGAAGUCA